rnacentral:rRNA from 2 species
GUACCCGCUGAACUUAAGCAUAUCAAUAAGCGGAGGAAAAGAAACCAACAGGGAUUGCCUCAGUAACGGCGAGUGAAGCGGCAACAGCUCAAAUUUUAAAGCUGGCGUCCUCGACGCCCGCGUUGUAAUUUGGAGAGGCAUCUUCGGUUUGGGCGCCAGCCUAUGUUCCUUGGAACAGGACGUCACAGAGGGUGAGAAUCCCGUGCUUGGCUGGCUGUCCCUCUCCAUGUGAAGUGUCUUCGACGAGUCGAGUUGUUUGGGAAUGCAGCUCAAAAUGGGUGGUAAAUUUCAUCUAAAGCUAAAUAUUGGCGGGAGACCGAUAGCGCACAAGUAGAGUGAUCGAAAGAUGAAAAGCACUUUGAAAAUAGAGUUAAAAAGUACGUGAAAUUGUUGAAAGGGAAGCGCUUGAGACCAGACUCGGCCGGAGACGAUCAGCGGUCCUUUUGGGCCGUGCACUCGUCCUCGGUUGGGCCAGCAUCGGUUGAGACGGUGGGAUAAAGGUCCGGGGAAUGUGGCUCCUUUCGGGGAGUGUUAUAGCCCCGGGCGCAAUGCCGCCAGCCUCGACCGAGGACCGCGCUCUUUUGCUAGGAUGCUGGCGUAAUGGUCUUCAGCGACCCGUCUUGAAACACGGACC